GACGAACGCUGGCGGCGUGCCUAAUACAUGCAAGUCGAACGCAUUUUCUUUCACCGUAGCUUGCUACACCGAAAGAAAAUGAGUGGCGAACGGGUGAGUAACACGUGGGUAACCUGCCCAUCAGCGGGGGAUAACACUUGGAAACAGGUGCUAAUACCGCAUAAUUCCAUUUACCGCAUGGUAGAUGGGUGAAAGGCGCUUUUGCGUCACUGAUGGAUGGACCCGCGGUGCAUUAGCUAGUUGGUGGGGUAACGGCCUACCAAGGCUGCGAUGCAUAGCCGACCUGAGAGGGUGAUCGGCCACACUGGGACUGAGACACGGCCCAGACUCCUACGGGAGGCAGCAGUAGGGAAUCUUCGGCAAUGGACGCAAGUCUGACCGAGCAACGCCGCGUGAGUGAAGAAGGUUUUCGGAUCGUAAAACUCUGUUGUUAGAGAAGAACAAGGAUGAGAGUGGAAAGUUCAUCCCUUGACGGUAUCGAACCAGAAAGCCACGGCUAACUACGU
rnacentral:rRNA from 1 species